UACGGAGGGUGCGAGCGUUGUCCGGAAUCACUGGGCGUAAAGGGCGCGUAGGUGGCGCCGCAAGUCCAUGGUGAAAGCUCGAUGCUCAACAUCGAGUCGGCCACGGAGACUGCGGGGCUCGAGCACUGUAGGGGCAGAUGGAAUUCCGGGUGUAGCGGUGGAAUGCGUAGAGAUCCGGAAGAACACCGGUGGCGAAGGCGGUCUGCUGGGCAGUUGCUGACACUGAGGCGCGACAGCGUGGGGAGCAAACAGG
rnacentral:rRNA from 1 species